rnacentral:rRNA from 1 species
CGGGUGAGUAAUGCUUGGGAAUCUAGCUUAUGGGAGGGGGUAACUACGGGAAACUGUAGCUAAUACCGCGUAGAAUCGGGAGAUGAAAGUGUGGGACCUUCGGGCCACAUGCCAUAGGAUGAGCCCAAGUGGGAUUAGGUAGUUGGUGAGGUAAAGGCUCACCAAGCCGACGAUCUCUAGCUGGUCUGAGAGGAUGACCAGCCACACUGGGACUGAGACACGGCCCAG